rnacentral:rRNA from 1 species
GACGAACGCUGGCGGCGUGCUUAACACAUGCAAGUCGAACGGAAAGGCCCUGCUUUUGUGGGGUGCUCGAGUGGCGAACGGGUGAGUAACACGUGAGUAACCUGCCCUUGACUUUGGGAUAACUUCAGGAAACUGGGGCUAAUACCGGAUAGGAGCUCCUGCUGCAUGGUGGGGGUUGGAAAUUUUCGGCGGUUGGGGAUGGACUCGCGGCUUAUCAGCUUGUUGGUGGGGUAGUGGCUUACCAAGGCUUUGACGGGUAGCCGGCCUGAGAGGGUGACCGGCCACAUUGGGACUGAGAUACGGCCCAGACUGCUACGGGAGGCAGCAGUGGGGAAUAUUGCACAAUGGGCGGAAGCCUGAUGCAGCAACGCCGCGUGCGGGAUGACGGCCUUCGGGUUGUAAACCGCUUUCGCCUGUGACGAAGCGUGAGUGACGGUAAUGGGUAAAGAAGCACCGGCUAACUACGUG